rnacentral:rRNA from 1 species
CGCGUAGGCGGCACAGUAAGUCAGAGGUGAAAUCCCCACGGCUCAACCGGGAAAUUGCCUUUGAUACUGCUGUGCUUGAGUACGGUAGAGGCAAGUGGAAUUCUCAGUGUAGCGGUGAAAUGCGUAGAUAUUGGGAGGAACACCAGUGGCGGAGGCGACUUGCUGGGCCGUAACUGACGCUGAGGCGCGAAAGCCAGGGGAGCGAACG